rnacentral:lncRNA from 12 species
GACACACAUAUAUAUAUAUAUAUAUAUAUAUAUAUAUAUAUAAACAUUUUGAAGCAAACAGGUAUGCCAUAUUUCAGCUCAGUUAAGUUCUUAUCCAAUGUUGUCAGUGCAGUCAAAUUAAUAAUAUUGCUGAAUAUUAGGUGUCUUCAAUUAAGCAAGAUGAAAGGCAACAGUGGAAACAUCAUGCCAGCAGGUGAAGCUGGUCUGUGCAGAGGGCUUGUCUGGUUCUCGUAGUCUCUGCUGUGGAUCUGUGCUGGAGCCAUCAAUGAGGUCUUCACAGGGAUCUGUCAUCUAGUGACAUUCGGGGAUGUGUUGUGGUCGUUCCUGGGUGCAGGUCCAUCGUCUGGUCUGGAUACUGACUGGAUCAGCUGAUUACUGCAACCUAGGGAUAAGGGGGAGACAGUAUAUAAAUGGCUAAUAUAGACACUGAUGUCAUUCCUCUUACAAAUUAAAAGUAUGUGAGAUAUUAUAGGAAGUGUUGCCAGUUCUUCUUACCCUAAUUGUUGCAGCAUAAAAAUUCCGUUAAGGGAUUUGAAUUAUAGAAAUGUGAUAGUGUGUCAUGUGUGAAUGCAGGGUUAAGGAGAUGGUACUUUUAAACUCACAGCGUGCCUGCCUCCUGAAUAACAGUAUGAUCUGCCAGUUGGAGUCGCCAUUUCAGCAGCAUUAACCUGAAGGUUUUUCCAAACUGCAGCCUUGAAAUAUAGGAAUAUUUGUAUAAAUAUAUUGUAAUUGUUAAAUCUUAAGCAUUAGGAUUAGAAAAAAAAAAAAGGAUGUCAGAUUAUAAAGUGCAUUCAGAUUAAACUUUAAAAUUCGUUUGCUCAUAAUAAUCCCCACUGCAGUAAAAUAUAUUAAGUUUGAUUUUAAUCACAUUACAGGGCAUACACUUUAAAAGUUUUUGUUCACUCUAAAAAUGUGAGCCUGCUCUAGUGCAGCAGACAGAUUAGGCCUUCCUUCAAGAACAAAAGAUGAAACACUUACACUUUCCGGCUUUCUCUUACAUAUCUAUAGUGCUUUUCCGUGUCAGAGCUGUUACCACAGAAUACAUAUUAUUAUUAAAUUCAGAUUGCAUAUAUUGAAUUGUCUUAGCGGGUGUAAUCCUAUGCUCAGUGUAGUUUGAUUCACAACCAAAUGACUCUUUUUAAAGGUUAAGUGCAUUAAAUCAGACAGAGCCACCAGUAGCUAUAGUUAUUAUGGCGCCAUAUGGCGAGUCCGAUAUGAUUCCGUAACAAUCACUCGUUGAAAAAGACGAAUCGAAUGACUGAUUUUUUUUUUUUUUUUUUUUUUUUUUUUUUUAGCAAACUGGAAUAUAACUCAAUAUUAAUUCAUUAGUUUAUAUCAUCAUAUACUGGUUACAGCUGAUCAGUUUUUUUUUUCUAUUAAAAAAUUACAUUAUGUUUCUAAUCUCUAAAGAGACCUUAUAUCAACAAUGUUUCCUCCGGUUUUUCUGACGUUAUGUUAUCAUCUCAAACCUUACAGAAACAUCUAAAAAAUUCUUCGUGACAUUCAGAAACAUCAAACAACACUAGAUUGUGCGUUAAAUAUAUUUACUUAAUUACCUUUUGCAGCUGAAGUAUUCCUCUUGAAAACUGUGCCCGCAGAAUGCUCCUCACAGCAUACACACCAAAAACCAUUUUUUCCUUAUCAGUACCACGAGUUUUUAUUUUUAUUCGGCGUAGGCUACUAUUUAUACGCAUUUUCAUGAUAACCCAGGAUUUUUUAGAGUAUAUUUGAGUUUUGCAAGCUCGUGCACUCUUUUUUAUGUAUUCCUAAUAUAAAUUGUAUGAUAGUUUUCUCCCAAAGCUCUCCUUUUCUCCUCAGAACUGCUGGGCAGUGACUGCAGGGUAGUGCAUUAUUGUUCAAGCUCGUGACGUAGACGAAAGUGAAACUAACCACAGCUCGUGCAUCAGAUCAGUUCACUUUUCAUUUUAAAUUCAAUUAGGA